GACGAACGCUGGCGGCGUGCUUAACACAUGCAAGUCGAACGGCAAGGCCCUGCUUUUGUGGUGUGCUCGAGUGGCGAACGGGUGCGUAACACGUGAGUAACCUGCCCUUGACUUUCGUAUAACUUCAGGAAACUGGGGCUAAUACCGGAUAGCAGCCCCUGCUGCAUGGUGGGCGUUGGAAAGUUUCGGCGGUUGGGGAUGGACUCGCGGCUUAUCAGCUUGUUGGUUGGGUAGUGGCUGACCAAGGCUUUGACGGGUAGCCGGCCUGGGAGGGUGAACGGCCACAUGGGGACUGAGAUACGGCCCAGACGCCUACGGGAGGCAGUAGUGGGGAAUAUUGCACAAUGGGCGGAAGCCUGAUGCAGCAGCGCCGCGGGCGGGAUGACGGCCUGCGGGGUGUAAACCGCUGUCGCUUGAGACGACGCGUGAGUGACGGUAAUGGGUGAAGAAGCACCGGCUAACUACGUG
rnacentral:rRNA from 1 species